rnacentral:miRNA from 1 species
AAAGGCGUCAUAUUAUACCAC